CCCUCCCUCUGGCGGCAGGCCUAACACAUGCAAGUCGAGCGAGGACUUCGAUCUUAGCGGCGGACGGGUGAGUAACGCGUGGGAACGUGCCCUUUGCUUCGGAAUAGCCCUGGGAAACUGGUAGUAAUACCGGAUGAACCCUUUGGGGGAAAGAUUUAUCGGCAGAGGAUCGUCCCGCGUUGUAUUAUGUAGUUGGUGCGGUAAUGGCCUACCAAGCUGACAAUCCAUAGCUGGUUUGAGAGGAUGAUCAGCCACACUGGGACUGGGAAACGGCCCAGAAUACUACGGGAGGCAGCAGUGGGGAAUCUAAGACAAUGGGGGGAGUCAUGAUCGAGCCAUGCCGCGUGAGCGAUGAAGGCUUGAGGGUUGUAAAGCUCUUUAAGCUGGGAAUAUAAUGACGGUACCAGCAGAAGAAGCCCCGGCUAACUCCGUG
rnacentral:rRNA from 1 species